AGUCUUCAGGGCGGGGUGAAAUUCCCCACUGGCGGUACAGUCCGCGACCGGACGCAGUUUCAACAUUGAUAUUGCGUCCGCUGACUCGGUGAAACUCCGGGACCAACGGUUACAGUCCGGAUGGAAGAAGAUG
rnacentral:ncRNA from 1 species